AAGCGGCGCCGCCGCGCGCUCCUUUCAGCGUGAUGGCGGCGGCACUGGCGCCGCCCGGGCCGGGACUCGCCCUCGAGCCGGGGCUGGAGUCCGUCUUGCGGGAGGCCGUGGCGGCUCUGGGCCGGGCUGGGGAGGGGAUGGUGGCGGCGCUGGGCGCGGUACGCGCCGCUGUGGCGGCAGCGGGCGGCCCAGCCGCCCUCGGGGAGCGGGAGCGGGCGCUGUUCGGCGCCUUCCUGCGCAGACUGGUCCGGGCGCCUGGCGCGGCGCGGCCCGAGGGCCUGUGGCAGCGCUGCUUCCUGGAGGGCCCGCCCGGCCUUGUGUUCUGCGUCUUGCUGGAGGCCCUUGGCUCUGCGGGCUCUGGCCUUGACCCGAAGGAGGUAGUUGGGGUCCUGGAGCAGUUCCUGCAGCAGGGCCAGGUGUCAGCAUUACUGUGGGAGGUCUGUCAGCCGCAGGCACAGGCAGGCUGCCUGGAACUGCAGGGUGCCCUGCUCAACAAGAUCGUCUGUUUGCCCGAGCAUGUGAGCAAUAAACUCCAGGGGAAAAACCCGCCAGUGUUCUUCCCACAGAACUACUUCCCUCUCCUGGGUGAUGCAGUCCUCCAGGUGCUAGAGAAGAUCUCUGACUCUCUGCGGGGUGGCUUGGACUGCUCCAUCUCUUUUGUUUCUCAUGUCCUGGGGAAGGUGUGUGUUCAUGGACGGCAAAAGGAAAUUCUGGGAGUUUUGGUUCCCCGCCUGACAGACCUCACCAAGUCAGACUGCAUUUGGCAGAGGAUAUGCUGGCAGUUGGUGGAAUGUGUGCCGGACCGCUGGAUGGAAGCAGUGGUCCUUGGUUUUGUGCAGAGAGCACCUGGGGCAGAUGUCUUGUCCAGAUUGCUGGGUAACCUGGUUGUGAAGAACAAGAAGGCUCAGUUUGUGGUCACACAGAAGAUGCUGCUCUUGCAAUAUGGCCACACGACAGCAGUGCUGCAGAACCUCUUUGGCUACCUGUCCCUGGACAGUGUCCGGCGCACCUUGUUGCUCAGAGUGCUGCAGGAGCUGUUGGAGACCUGGAGCAGCAGCAGUGCUGUGAAACACUCCCCAGCUGAGCAGCAGCUGUACAUUAGCAAGGCCAUUCUCAUCUGCCUCUCCCACCUGAAGGAGCCUGAAAUUGCAAGCUGCAGACAAGAGCUUCUGACAAGCAUGAUGGAGGGUGUGAAAUGCCACUUGGAGAGCAGUCUGCCACAACUACGGCGUCUGGGCAUGGUGGUGGCAGAGAGCAUCAGCUUGAACAUAAACACUGAGGGGCCUGUCCUGAAGUUUGAGUAUGAAGAGGAUGAUGAAACAAGAGAAUUGAAGUCCCUUCUGGUGCAGACUCCAUCAUUCUGUGCUGUCCCCAGCCUUCCAGAUGAUGACAGGAGUGAGAAAGCAGGUGCUGCACUGCCACUGGUACCAGAGAGUAAUGAGAAAUCCUCUACUGCAGCCCCUGGGAUGCCAGAUGAAGAGUCAGAUGCUGAACUUGACAGUGACGAUGACCUCAUCCCUUAUGACAUGUCUGAGGAUAAAGAGCUAAAAAUUAAGGCUCCUAUGUAUAUCCGAGACUGUAUUGAAGUUCUGACUGGAUCAAGAUCUGAAGAUGUGGACAAAUGGGAAGCUACAAUCAAGGCACUUGAGAGCCUGGUUCGGAGGAAUCCAGCAGCAACAAGAGAGGUUAGUGUGGAGCUGGCAAAAAUAUUAUUGCAUCUGGAGGAGAAGACCUGCAUUGAAGGCUUUGAGGCACUCCGUCAAAGAGCUCAAGUAGCUGUUUUAACCACAGACCCAAUACCUGUUGCAGAGUACUUGACCUCUCAGUUCUACUCUCUGAACUACAGUCUCCGUCAGCGCAUGGACAUCCUUGAUGUAUUGGUUUUGGCAGCUCAGGAACUGUCCUGUCCCAAGUUCCAUGGGAAGACCACACAUUCUGAUGUCCAAAAGCCUUGUAUCCAGCUCCUUCCAGGAAGUGACAGCUCUAAGGGCUGGAGAAAAAUCGUUGAUGAGAGGAUCAAAAGCAAGACUCGGAGAUUUAAUACGGGUCAGUGUCGUCUGGAACUGACUUCCUGCCCAAACGAGUUCAAUUCUGUUGCUGGGUAUUUCUUUUUCCCGUUGAUUCAGCAUUUUGACAGGCCUUUAACAACAUUUGAUCUUCUGGGAGAAGAUCACUUAGUCCUUGGAAGACUGGUUCACACUUUAGCAGUUCUGAUGUACUUGGCUGUCAACACCGUGGCAGCGACAGCAAUGGGAAAGGCACUGCUGGAAUUUGUUUGGGCACUGCGUUUCCACACGGACUCGUACGUGCGCCAGGGCCUUUUGUCCUGUAUCUCCUCCCUGCUCCUCAGUGUCCCUACAGAACGAAUGCUGGCAGACAUGACAGAAGAGCUAUUGGAGACUCAGUCCUGGCUGGGAGGGAGCAAGCAGGAAGCAACACUGACCCAGCUGGCCUCUGAUCCUGGCAGGUUGGGGUGCUCUGUGCCCUUUGAACGGAAGAGAGCUGCCAUGUGGGGCUGAAGACUUCACUUUUCCCAUGACACUGUGUACUCUCAGGAAUCUGCUUGUCUCUGCAUUUAACACUGCUGUUACCAAGCAAAGCCUUUCAAGAAUGUGUUUCCAGCAUGAGGGUUUGCAUAGUCUGUUUUCAGUGAGUUAUUUUGGGGAGGAGGAGGAUGACCAAGAUAGUAGCAAUUUUUCAUGCUGGUAGGUAGUGUAAUAGCCCUGUCUUUUCAUCUAGUGCUUUUGCAUGAAAGCUGCAUGAUUAUUUCUGGUGGGAAUGAGAGCAGGGUAAGAUAACUGUUGUGGGUAUACCAGAGAAAGGAAAACUGCUGUAGGAGUCGUUCAGAAGCCUUAAAGAAUUCAGCUUCACAUAUGGUCAGGUGCAAUUUAAGUGAAAUUUAAAGGGCUUCUAGAGCUGCUUCCUGAAACACACCAGCUUCUUGAGCUGUGCCUUUGCUAUUUAUUGUAAGGCUGUUGGGGAAACAGUUGCACAGGGAGGUAUUGGGCCCUCCCGGCUGCUCCAGCAGAUCAAGUCUGGCACUAGAGACCUGCUUCUGUGACUGAAUCACAGGUCUGUGCUCAUGGACUUGGCUGUUGCUUCAAGGCUCUUCUAGACAAGAUUUGCAAGAGGAGUUGUGUAUUAGCUGUGUUGUAGCUGGGAAUGGCCAAGUGUCCUGCAUGGGAGCCUUGACUACUAUGCCUUUUAGCCACUUUGGGUUUUAGCUUAAAGCAUCUGUGUUUCUCCUGCCAUGGCCAAAGCACAGUGAUGAACAGUGGGAUAGGAAAUGUUAUACAUGAAGUGCUUAGUAGAAAUCCACAGACUUCUUUCAGUUUGUUGUUACAUCUGGACCUCUGCAAACUGCUGUAGUCCUAUGACUGACUGUUGGCCCUUCAACCUGUUGGCUGCAGCCUGGCACUGUCUGCUUACUGGAUGCAUUGGGACAUACCGGCUACAGAGAGAGACGAGAAUCCACUUUGGACUUGUCCAUCAUUACCCUUAGUUACCCCGCUGGACUUGCUGCUGAGCAGCCUGAUCCUUCCUGGGGGAGGGAGGGAGUAUCUAAAUGCUUCUAGGAAAUGCCCUAGGAAAGAGCAUUCCCUGAGGAACCUUUUGAUUCCUCAGCAGCUGCCUUUGAGGGAAAUCCCCACCCCUUGCAAGUGCUCUGCAGCUAUGUCAUGGGUAAGUGAGGUUUAUGUCAGGACCAACAGGACACUCUGGUGCCUUGUGCCUCCCAUGCAGUGCCAGCAGUGCCAGGUCCAUGCUCAUGGAACAGAAACAGCACCAACAGCACUCAGCUUUUGAGCUUGUUUCACUCUGCCUUGUAACCUUCCUUUUUGUCUUCUGCAGAGGGAGUAUGAAAGCACCAGGUUGCAGCUCUCUCUGGAUUAUAAAUAGCUGUGCUCCAGUGACAUGAGUCAUGUGUUUGGGCUGACAGUGCUGGGCUCCCAGCACACUACUCGUGCGUACAGGAUAUCCUCACACAGGCUCCCUGCUCUUCCAGGCUCCCCUGCUUAGACAUCCUGCAUGCAUCCUGGUUGUUACUUUGCAGGCUCAUUAAGGGCCCCUGGAAUAACAGCUGCUGGGAACAGCCUCACAUUGCCCUUAUGUGCUGUGGGGAAUGUGGAACCCGUUGAUCAGAAGAUUGGUUUCUCAGAGUGGAGAAUGUGCUGAAGCUUGGGGCCUGUCACUUUCUUUCCCUGUUGGCAUCAUGACCCCAAAUUCAGGAAGGAGCACUGACUAUUUUAGAUUGCAAGAAUGGCAGAGUGGAGACUUUAGACUGUGAAGAAAGUGGAUUUCUAGCUACAAACUUCACUCAUGCUUGUAGCUCAGCUGUACAAAGCUUUUGUGUAGCUCAGGGUGACAAGUACAAAUUCUGGCAUGGAGAUAAUCCCAUAGGAUCCAAGGUCAGACAGUUUCUACAGUGUUUCAGACCAACUGACUGUUUCUCAAAAAAAACUGGAGCACUACCCCAUGUGACAGUCAGGGCUUGGCUGAACUUAUGCUGCUUUACAUGAUCAAGUUUGUGCAUCUCUGCCUUCUGGCCUAAUGCAGUUCCUGCAAGUCCUGAUGUCCAGCCCAGCCGUAGGUGCAAAUGCUGUUGUUUAGUUCUGUGAUUGUCAGUAAAAUAGUGAAAAGUGUUAAGGGCACUUUUUCCCAUUCUCCAAUUAAUAAUGGCUGCUUCUUUUGCAGUUGUGAUGGAGAAAGACCCUGAUGAGGACUGCAGAAGGCUGGCCCUGCAAAACUUGCUGCUAAUGGAGAACCUGAAAAAGAAACUUGAAGCUGUUCCUUCCUAGCUGAAGGGUAACAGAAAUGACCUUUACCUUGUGCUCUUGCCAGCUGGAUGUAUUUGAGCACUGCUGGGGCCUCUUCAGCAGUCACCUGGCUGGAGGAGAGGAAGAAGGGGGAAGGGUGCUGAGCUGUAAGCCAGCGAGCUUGACUUGACAUCUGGACUUUGUAGUGGAGGCCAAUUGAGUGAGCUCUGGGUAUCCGGUACAGCGUGUACAGAUGCAGGAAGGGAAUUUCUGAUCUGUUUAAGAAAAUACAUUUCCAAACCACCAAGGCUUUAUUGAUCCACCUUUGGUAGAUGUCAGCAGAAACCAGGAGUAGCUUCAUCAUGGACUGUUCAAGAGCAGGCAGUGUCUUAUGGGA